UACCAAUAAUUAUUUACCAACAUUUGGGAAAUAAAGUUCCCUGGUUGGCUGUUUAUAUGAAACAAAUAAAAAAGUCAAUAACCAUGUCAUAAAGCAACAUUA